GAAAGGCACCCACCCAGGCAAAACAUAUUAGACACAAAAUAUAAAAGCCACAGGCCAAGGCGAAAGAGAAUUCCAUCGAGGAUUUUCAACAGUCUUCUAGUCGCCAUGAGGAUCUUGUUUCUUCUCAUCGCCCUCAGCCUCAUCGCCAUCGCCAUGUGUCAGCAAACACAAGCCCCUCAAGGAUGUCUACACGGUGGAAUUUGGUAUGAAAAAGGACAAUCUUACAAAGACGACUGUAACACUUGCAUCUGUAUGGGCAACAACAUGGCUGGAUGCACUCUGAUGCUUUGUCUUCCUGGUUAGAAUGUCGGCCACACAUCCACCCGAGAUGCCGUGAAGACAUGCAGUCAUGGCGACGACAUUUCGAAAACGAUAUAAAGCUUGCAGUUGUCUAUGUCAACAUGAAUACACAGAGCUGGAUUCACUUUGAUCGGCAAAGCGAACUUG